rnacentral:rRNA from 1 species
UACGUAGGGUGCGAGCGUUGUCCGGAAUUAUUGGGCGUAAAGGGCUCGUAGGCGGUCUGUUGCGUCGGGAGUGAAAACUCAGGGCUUAACCCUGAGCCUGCUUCCGAUACGGGCAGACUAGAGGUAUGCAGGGGAGAACGGAAUUCCUGGUGUAGCGGUGAAAUGCGCAGAUAUCAGGAGGAACACCGGUGGCGAAGGCGGUUCUCUGGGCAUUACCUGACGCUGAGGAGCGAAAGUGUGGGGAGCGAACAGGG